rnacentral:rRNA from 1 species
CUUGUACACACCGCCCGUCACACCAUGGGAGCGGGUUCUGCCAGAAGUAGUUAGCCUAACCGCAAGGAGGGCGAUUACCACGGCAGGGUUCGUGACUGGGGGUG